rnacentral:tRNA from 1 species
GGGAAUAUAGCUCAGUGCCACAGUGCCUGCCUGGCAAGCACAAGGUCCUGGGUUUGAUUUCUGGUAUCCCCC